rnacentral:sRNA from 1 species
CAGGACAAGGCCAAACAAAUCCAAGAUCAACUGAAUGAGCUGGAGGAACGGGCAGAGGCCCUGGACCGCCAGCGGACCAAGAACAUAUCCGCUAUCAGUUACAUCAACCAGCGGAACCGGGAGUGGAACAUUGUAGAGUCUGAGAAGGCCCUUGUGGCUGAAAGUCACAACAUGAAAAACCAACAGAUGGAUCCCUUUACUCGGCGGCAGUGCAAGCCUACCAUCGUUUCUAAUGUGAGUGCUGAAAGAGGACAUUUUAGUCAGGACCUAGAUUCUAGGACACAAAAUGAAUUCCAUUAGGAAAUUAAUAAUGAAGUUAAAAAUAAUGUUUUCUUAGCUGGGAUUUGCUUGUCUGAAGCUCUUGGGUCUGGAUACUUCCUUUUUUAUCUUGCUAUAGGACAUAUCGGUAGUGAAAACGUGGCAUGGAUUUAUAAAAACCUAGUGACUGAUCCUCCUGUAUCAGGGUGGGUUUACAGUGCAGCAGACAUUAGUAAUGUGUCCCUUAGCUAGGGCCUGGCUGAGCUGGGCUUGGCUUUCAAGCUUGUAAUUGCC